GCCAGUGUGGCAUAGUGGUUUGAGUGUUGGACUACGACUCUGGAGACCAGGGUUCAGUUCCCAGCUCAGCCA
rnacentral:tRNA from 1 species